UUUGGGUAGUGAGCAGUCGCUUUGUUAUACAAAGAGGAAAGUCUGAGCUUGCGUAGAAAGUGAUAACGGAUAACAUCCGUCGGGGGUAACCCUAGGGAAAGUGCAGCAGAAAAAAACCGCCGCGAGGUAAGGGUGAAAAGGUGAGGUAAGAGCUUACCGGGUGCAUUAAAUAACGCCGCAAUAUGCAAACCCUAUCACAAGUAAGAUCAAAUAGAGGUUAAAACUUUUUCUACAGUUGACCUGGGUUGAUCGCUGGAGCUUAGUAGUAAUAUUAAGCCUAGAUAAAUGACUGCUAAUUUUCAAUAAAUUACAGAACUCAGCUUAUAGCUACCCACAUAUA
rnacentral:RNase_P_RNA from 1 species